AAGAAGUGGUUCAAGGGCCUCAUGAACCGAUUCUAGACAUGCAUGUACCACCCAUGGCAGCUUGCUUUUAAUUACUCUGGUUGAUGUGUGCUCUGCACCUCCACGUCUGCGUGCCAUCGGGUGUUCUACAUUUUUUUUCAAGCACACGCAAGAGAUGUGCUACCAUUUCGUUUAAUGACCUUCGUAUUAUUCCACAUUACCACUUCGGUUUAUGUAUGUAUGUAUUGAUGUGAUAUUGGUGACUUGUGAGGGUUGUGAAAUUACAUGAGUAGCACCGUUAAGUGUUUUUCAUAACUACAUAAUUACUUUGUCUUCUUAUGUACCCACUCCAUUUCAUAGUUUUUGUUGUCCUUUCAAAUUUGAACUAAAACCACGACAAGAAUUAGGGAACCAAGGGAGUAUAUUGUAUUACUAUGAUCAUCAUAUUAUUUUCCCUGAUUUGAACAUAGUCUGCUCAUCUCACUUUUCCCAUCAAGCAUCAGUACUGUUAACAGUUUCUUCAUGUCCCUUAUAUAUAACAAGUUAAUUAACUCUAGCACCCCUAUAAAAAACUUGCAACUUUGGUGUUCUUUUUUGUUUCCUUUUACAAGGGAGACGAUUUGCCCUUUCUUUUCCGGGGGCAAUAUCUUUUGAAAUGGAUAGAAUGUCUCACACUUCUUCGUCGACCGAUAUAUGUAUGUGCACAACCAUUCUAUUUACAAAGUUUCAAAUCCUUGAAAAACUAAAAUUAAGAGCCGAAAAAGCAAAUAAAACAGUAACAUGUUAGAACUCAGCAUUUAAGAUUUCCUUUCUGUAUAUUGUUUCGCCCCUGACCAAUAUUCACAAUUUUUUAAGAACUGCUCAAAAAGUAUUUGGCCUUAAUUGAACAUAUGAGUAUAUAUGUGACUAUAAGAAUGGCGAGCUCACUCUUAACCAGUACAAUACAACUUAAUUUGUGGUACUACUCCUAAUUUCAUUUUAAUCUUUGUAGAACCAUCGCCGAUGGUAAUUAUUCAAAUAUAAUAUAAUAUUUUUGAUCAAGAUUAUGUCUUCUUCUCGACUCUUGCUGAAAAUUGCUGAUUUUCUCCGAAACCUUUAAAAAAAAUCAACAAAUAGUUUUCUUCGGGCGUCGACAUUCUAUGACUCGAGACCACAAAACCCAGAGACUCCACGCAUUACGGUCAAUGCACAAGUACUAAAAAAAUAUGUGCCUUUGUUUUAUUCAGAUGAACGAACUUGUGCUUCUUUUGUUCGGGCACGCAGUAAUUUUAAAAAAAUUCCUACGAUCAUGCAAGAUUUAUCUAGGUGAUGCAUAGCAACGAAAGGGGAGAGUGUUGUCUACGUAUCCUCGUAGACCGAAAGCGGAAGCGUUAUGACAACGCAGUUGAUGUAGUCGUACGUCUUCACGAUCCGACUGAUCCUAGCACCGAAGGUACGGCACCUCCACUCUCUGCACACGUUCAGCUCGGUGACGUCCCACGAACUCUAGAUCCAGCUGUGGUCAAGCGAGAAUUUCGUCAGCACGACGGCGUGAUGACGGUGAUGAUGAACUUAUUGACGCAGGGCUUCGCCUAAGCACUACAACGAUAUGACCGAUGUGGGAGGGGGCACCGCACACGGCUAAACAAUCAACUUUUGUGUCUAUGGGGUACCCCCUUCCCGUAUAUAAAGGACUGGAGGAGGAGGCUGGCCGGCCACAAGGGGCGCGCCAAGGGGGAGGACUCCUACUCCCACUAGGAGUAGGUUUCCCCCGUUUUCUAGUCCAAGAAGGAGAAGAAGGGAAAGAGGAGAGAAGAGAAGGAAGGAGAGGGGGGCGCCCCCCUUCCCUUGUCCAAUUCGGACUGGCAAGGGGAGGAAGGCGCGCCACCUCUGGCCGACCCUCUCUCUUCUCCACUAAGGCCCGUUAAGGCCCAUUAGUCCCCCGGAGGGUUCCGGUAACCUUCUGGUACUCCGGUUUUAUCCGAAACUUCUCUGGAACACUUCCGGUGUCCGAAUAUAGCCGUCCAAUAUAUCAAUCUUCAUGUCUCGACCAUUUAGAGACUCCUCGUCAUGUCCGUGAUCACAUCCGGGACUCCGAACAAUCUUUGGUACAUCAAAACAUAUAAACUCAUAAUAUCGAUUGUCAUCGAACGUUAAGCGUGCGGACCCUACGGGUUCGAGAACUAUGUAGAUAUGACCGAGACUCACUUUCGGUCAAUAACCAAUAGCGGAACCUGGAUGCUCAUAUUGGUUCCUACAUAUUCUACGAAGAUCUUUAUCGGUCAAACCGCAUAACAACAUACGUUGUUCCCUUUGUCAUUGGUAUGUUACUUGCCUGAGAUUCGAUCGUCGGUAUCAUCAUACCUAGUUCAAUCUUGUUACCGGUAAGUCUCUUUACUCGUUCCGUAAUGUAUCAUCCCGCAACUAACUCAUUAGUCACAUUGCUUGCAAGGCUUAUAGUGAUAUGCCUCGUCGAGAGGGCCCAGAGAUACCUCUCCGAAACACGGAGUGAUAAAUCCUAAUCUUGAUCUAUGCCAACCCAACAAACACCAUCAGAGACACUUGUAGAGCAUCUUUAUAAUCACCCAGUUACUUUGUGACGUUUUAUAGCACACUAAGUGUUCCUCCGGUAUUCGGAAGUUGCAUAAUCUCGUAGUCAUAGGAACAUGUAUAAGUUAUGGAGAAAGCAAUAGAAACAAACUAAACGAUCAUAGUGCUAAGAUAACGGACGGGUCAAGUCAAACACAUCAUUCUCUAAUGAUGUGAUCCCGUUCAUCAAAUGACAACUUUUGUCAAUGGCUAGGAAACUUUAACCAUCUUUGAUCAAUGAGCUAGUUAAGUAGAGGUCUACUAGUGACACUUUGUUUGUCUAUGUAUUCACACAUGUACUAAGUUUCCGGUUAAUACAAUUCUAGCAUGAAUAAUAAACAUUUAUCAUGAUAUAAGUAAAUAUAAAUAACAACUUUAUUAUUGCCUCUAGGGCAUAUUUCCUUCAGUCUCCCACUUCCACUAGAGUCAAUAAUCUAGAUUACAUUGUAAUGAUUCUAACACCCAUGGAGUCUUGGUGCUGAUCAUGUUUUGCUCGUGAGAGAGGCUUAGUCAACGGGUAUGCAACAUUCAGAUCCGUAUGUAUCUUGCAAAUCUCUAUGUCCCCUUUCGACACUUGAUGAUAGAUGGAAUUGAAGCAUCUCUUGAUGUGCUUGGUUCUCUUGUGAAAUAUGGAUUCCUUCGCCAAGGCAAUUGCUCCAGUAUUGUCACAAAAGAUUUUCAUUCGACCCGAUGCACUAGGUAUGACAGCUAGAUCAGAUAUGAACUCCUUCAUCCAGACUCCUUCAUUUGUUGCUUCUGAAGCAGCUAUGUAUUCCGCUUCACACGUAGGUCCCGCCACGACGCUCUGCUUAGAACUGCACCAACUGACAGCUCCACCAUUCAAUAUAAACAUGUAUCCGGUUUGUGACUUAGAGUCAUCCGGAUCAGUGUCAAAGCUUGCAUCGACGUAACCACUUACAACGAGCUCUUUGUCAUCUCCAUAAAUGAGAAACAUAUCCUUAGUCCUUUUCAGGUAUUUUAGGAUGUUUCUUGACCGCUUUCCACUGAUCCACUCCUGGAUUACUUUGGUACCUCCCUACUAUACUUAUAGCAAGGCACACAUCAGGUCUGGUACACAACAUUGCAUACAUGAUAGAACCUAUGGCUGAAGCAUAGGGAUUGACUUUCAUUUUCUCUCUAUCUUCUGCAGUGGUUGGGCAUUGGGUCUCACUCAACUACACACCUUGUAACACAUGCAAGAACCCUUUCUUUGACUAAUCAAUUUUGAACUUCUUCAAAAUCUUAUCAAGGUAUGUGCUUUGUGAAAGUCCAAUUAAGCGUCUUGAUCUAUCUCUAUAGAUCUUGAUGCCCAAUAUAUAAACAGCUUCACCGAGGUCUUUCAUUGAAAAAGUCUUAUUCAAGUAUCCUUUUAUGCUAUCCAGAAAUUCUAUAUCAUUUCCAAUCAACAAUAUGUCAUUCACAUAUAAUAUUAGAAAUGCUACAGAGCUACCACUCAAUUUAUUUAAUUACAUGCUUCUUCAAAAGUUUGUAUAAAACCAUAUGCUUUGAUCACACUAUCAAAGCGUUUAUUCCAACUCCGAGAGGCUUGCACCAGUCCAUAAAUGGAUUGCUGGAGCUUGCACACUUUGUUAGCAUCCUUUGAAUAAACAAAACCUUCCGGUUGCAUCAUAUACAACUCUUCAUCCAGAAAUCCAUUCAGGAAUGCAGUUUUGACAUCCAUUUGUCAAAUUUCAUAAUCAUAAAAUGUGGCAAUUGCUAACAUGAUUCGGACAGACUUAAGCAUCGCUAUGGAUGAGAAAGUCUCAUCAUAGUCAACUCCUUGAACUUGUUGAAAACCUUUUGCAACAAGUCGAGCUUUAUAGACAGUAACAUUACUGUCAGCGUCAGUCUUCUUCUUGAAGAUCCAUUUAUUCUAGAUGGCUUGUCGAUCAUCUGGAAAAUCAACCAAAGUCCACACUUUGUUCUCAUACAUGGAUCCAUCUCAGAUUUCAUGGCAUCAAGCCAUUUCACGGAAUCUGGGCUCAUCAUCGCUUCCUCAUAGUUCAUAGGUUCGUUAUGGUCUAGUAACAUGACGUCCAGAACAAGAUUACCGUACCACUCUGGUGCGGAUCUUACUCUAGUUGACCUACGAGGUUCAGUAGUAACUUGAUCUGAAGUUUCAUGAUCACUAUCAUUAGCUUCCUCACUAAUUGGUGUAGGAAUCACCGGAACUGAUUUUUGUGAUGAACUACUUUCCAAUUCGGGAGCAGGUACAAUUACCUCAUCAAGUUCUACUUUCCUCCUACUCACUUCUUUCGAGAGAAACUCCUUCUCUAGAAAUGAUCCAUUCUUAGCAACGAAUAUCUUGCCUUCGGAUCUCUAAUAGAAGGUGUAUCCAAUAAUUUCCUUUGGGUAUCCCAUGAAGACGCACUUCUCCGAUUUGUGUUCGAGCUUAUCAGGUUGAAGCUUUUUCACAUAAGAAUCACAGCCCUAAACUUUAAGAAACGACAACGUUGGUUUCUAGCCAAACCACAAUUCAUAAGGCAUCAUGUCAAUGAAUUUUGAUAGUGCCCUAUUUAAAUUGAAUGCAGCCGUCUCUAAAGCAUAACCCCAAAACGAUAGCGGUAAAUCAGUAAGAGACAUCAUAGAUCGCACCAUAUCUAAUAAAGUACGGUUACGAUGUUCGGACACACCAUUUUGCUGUGGUGUUACAGGUGGCGUUAGUUGUGAAACUAUCUCAUGUUGUUUCAAAUGAAGACCAAACUCGUAACUCAAAUAUUCUCCUCCACGAUCAGAUCUUAGAAACUUUAUUUCUUGUUACGAUGAUUUUCCACUUCACUCUAAAAUUCUUCGAAUUUUCAAAUGUUUCAGACUUAUGUUUCAUCAAAUAGAUAUAAUGAUACGUCUCCAACGUAUCUAUAAUUUUUGAUUGUUCCAUGCUAUUAUAUUACCUGUUUUGGAUGUUUAAUGGACUGGACUUUACUAAGCACUUUUAUAUUAUUUUUGGGACUAACCUAUUAACCGGAGGCCCAUCCCAAAUUGCAGUUUUUUUUGCCUAUUUCAGAGUUUUCGCAGAAAAGGAAUAUCAAAUGGAGUCCAAACGGAAUAAAACCUUCGGGAGAGUUAAUUUUGGAACAAAUGCAAUUCAGGAGACUUAGAGUGGACGUCAAAAAAGAAACGAGGCGACCAUAAGGCAGGGACAGCAGCAACAGCAGCAACAACAACAGCAGCAACAACAACAGCAACAACAACAACAGCAACAACAACAGCAGCAGCAACAACAACAACANNNNNNNNNNNNNNNNNNNNNNNNNNNNNNNNNNNNNNNNNNNNNNNNNNNNNNNNNNNNNNNNNNNNNNNNNNNNNNNNNNNNNNNNNNNNNNNNNNNNACAACAACAACAACAACAACAACAACAACAACAACAACAACAACAACAACAACAAGUUAGCCAACCUCAACCACUAUGUCGAGUUAGGGAUCCAUAAUGCUUACAUUCGAAGUUUAUUCUCUCCAUUGUAGUGGUUUAGGCGUCCCAAAUAUUUAUUACCUCAAUAUAUGUCUCGCUGGCUCCUCGGAAAAGAGAUAUAUGCAUGGAGAAGGCAAAAUUUGAGAUACUAUAAUUUAUGCAUAAUAUCAUGCUUCAUAUCCAAACAUUUUCCGUUGCGAUAUAGUAGGCACAUCAACAUUUUGCAACAGGGUACUGUGAGGAGAAAGAGUUGUGAAGUUUGCCUACAAAUGGUCCACUAGAGAUGGUUAUAAGGUGAGGAUUUGAGAACACAGCUAGUAUGGGUCUUUUCUUUCAUUUGUACAAUACUAGAUAUAUAUAUAUUACAUAUGUAGAGAAUAUAUUAUUAUAUAGAUAAUGCCUUAGAUAGUUAACAUCCAGAGCCAGGCACCAAUCCAUCCGCCCAAAUCCCACAUGUUCAUAUACAAACGCCGAGCUUUUGAAUGUCUACGACCAAGUGACACCAUGGCCGCAUGCAAUGGAGGUGACCGAGGCAUGUUACUUUGCCUAUGGGGGACUCGGACUGCAAAGGUUAUCUACUACUUCCUCCGUCCCAAAAUAAGUGUCUUGAGCUUAGUACAAAUUUGUACUAGAGUUAGUACAAAGUUGAGACACUUAUUUUGGGACGGAGGGAGUAGAAGCCAACCGACCACUCAUGCUCCAUUCGUAUCCACAUAACAGGCCAGGGGUGGUGCUUGUUAGCUAGGGUGCCACUCAACCACUAUGUCGAAGUCUCCGACCUCGCCAUUCGUUGGGGCUAUGUUGUUGUGAGCCGAUCUAGGGGAUGUUAUAUUAGCCAACCUCGCCACCAGGAAUUGGGGUUGUUAAACUUCCCAGCUCCCUCACUUUGCCAAAUGGCAAGGGUUUUGACCAUGAUUCCUAUUGUGUGGGACGCAGUCCCUUUCUUCGGCAUCGUCAUUGACCCGUUUGUAUGCAUGGUAUGCUUUAUCUAUAGGGACCCCAAGGCGUUAUUGCUCGCGUGCAAAGAGGCUGCCGCAAUGAGUGAGCUCGCCAGCGUUUUGGCAUACGCCCUAAAGCGGCAUAGGGAGUUGUGCGCCAUCUUUUUGUUGGAAAUCGCUAUUGGGGACGAGGAGCCGUCCGGUUGUCGUGCUUGCACGCCUUUCAUAUUGUGUGAAUCGCAUCGUGGUUCUACCACGCAUCGAUGUGCCCAAGUUACUGGCAUGAUGGAUUACUUCGACUUUAUCAGAUCAUAGCAAGAUCAACAAGACGACUUUUUAUAAUAAAUUCAUGUAAUUUAUAAACUAUGUAAAGAAUUUUUAUAAAAUGUUCGUGUAAUUAGAAAAUUGUUCAUCCAUUGAACAUUCAUGUAAGUAAAAAUGUGUUCUACACAUUUUUCUAGUAAUGGGAAAAAUUGUUGGAUGCAUUUUAAAAUCAUACAAUUAUAUAAAUUUUUCUGUAUAAUAAAAUAAAGUUGUCAGAAUAUUUUAGUGUAAUGCUCAUGUAAGAAAAAUUGUAUUUGAUGGACAUUUUUAAUUUGCCUAUAUCUAAAUUAUUGUAAUAAUAAACGUCACUUACUUAUAAAUGUUUAUUACAUAUUAAAAAUGUCCAUGAACUACUUAUAAAAAAAUUAUGUAUGGAAGAAUAAAAGGGAAAACUGAUCAGAAAAAUGAAAAAGAUAAACCUAUAGAAACCUAAAAUAAAAUGGAAAGAAACAAAAAGACAUACAAAAGAGGCAGACAUCUUGCACAUGGGCCGGCCCAAAACGAUUGGUUAUGCGUGACUGCUUGACUAAACGAUGUGUCUUCUAGAAAUAAAUGACUAAACAGUGUCUCCUCAUAAAGAGAAAAGGGACUGACUCUCAAAAUAAAAGGGACUAAACAGUGGACCAAGCGUGGAAUAGGAUUUCGGGAUGCCUAAUGCACACAUUCAUCAAAAAGUGAAAAAAAAAAGGACUAAACUGUGUGCCAAGCGUGUCUUCUUUAGGCGGCCUUCGAGUUUGGUUUGAGUCGGCAAGGUGGUGGUGGUGUUUCAGUGUAGGAGAAAUGUUCUUUCCCCUCUUUCCUGGUUCAAUUGGUGUGCUCAUGAUCGGCGGAGGGCGUGUGGAGGCGUGUAUAUGGCAAUGUUUUUGGGAUCCAGGCGGUCUAGGUUUUUGAUGGAUCCGUGUGGAUUCGGGCAGCUUUUAUUGCCUCCGUUGUUUCUACAAGUUCUCAUCGUUGUUUUCUUCUCCGGGGCGGCGAUUUCCUUCGCCAGUCGCAGUCGCGGACGUCUCCUGGUUGGAAUAUCGGCACCUUCAUAGCUGUUGCUUCUACAAGCUCCUGGGUUUAAAAACGGUUGCUCCGCCGAGCCAGACGCCUAGAGGUGGCAUCGAACUAUGCUCAUGGCGCGCCGCCGGUGGAUGCAGGAGGAAGAAGACUUUGGCACCCCCAAGAGAUAUGAAUGUAAUUUUACGUUUCUAUAUGGUUGUGUUUCUAAGGACAUGUGAUGCUGGAUAUAUAUAUGGGUCUUGGGCCCUUUAACACACUCAAAAAAAAGAACACAACACAUGCCUUCCAAAGGCUAUUAACCAAAAUCUAAUUCUAGAAAGAAUGGCAAAGUAAGGGAUUUCAGUCUGCUGAGAGACUGAAUAUCUCUCCCACGUCUGAUCUUCCUAUCAUGCAUAUUGUUAUUUGAAACCGUGACACAGUUGACAUCAUCGCGUACGCAAUUGGACCACGUCGAGCAUCGACACAUACUAGUUCGCCUCUCGACGGUAGACUCGUCGAAUGCAAGGGUGCAAUCAUGCAGUACACCAGAAAAUUUCAGUUUAAUUUGCUACAGAUAUCUCUUUAUAUAUAUGCAGUGCAACUCAGAAAAAGAUAGCUUGCAGUUCCACCGUUUCGAACGAAUAAAUGUUAAUGUGGUCUAGUCAGUCAUGUGCAUGUAGCGUCACCGAUGUGAUGGAACAGGUAAGUUAAUUAACGCGUCUCCUGCGCCAAGAGGAUGCAUAUAUAUCGAAGCUGAAAUUUUAAUUUCAAGCCAACGAACCAUUUGACCAAAUACUUAAGGGCGAUCCACCUCCAUCAGAAUCCAUUCAUUUCCAGAAAAUAAAAACACCGAUUCCUUUCUCCACUACAAAUACCCCGUCCAGCCGCUCCCGUCUCCUCAGUCCACAGAAGACGUCUUCCAGGUCCAGCCACCAUGGCCCGCCUCGCCACCCUCGCCCUGCUCCUCCUCUCCCUCGUGUCCGUCGCAAGCUGCCGCGACCUUGAGGCCAUCUCCGACGACCAGGGCCCGCCCGUCCCCGUCCUCCUCACUCGAGAUGAUCAGGCGGAUGCUGCUGCUGAGGUGACGACCCUUCCGAGCUUCCCGGGCCCGGCCGUCGCAUGGGACGAGGACGAGCUCCCCUCCCACCGCGGUCACCUCUGGUUGGCGCGCCGUCACGGCUUCUUCCACCGCCCCGGCGCGUUCACCGGCCUGGGCGAGGCCCGCGUCCAACCUGCGGUCUUCUUCCCCACCGAGCUUGAUCGCGGCGAAGAGCAAGCACCCUGGAAGGCGGUGCUGGAGGCGGUUGCGGAGCCUUACCACGACUCACGCGCAGCCACCGACGGCGAGCAAAAGCCGUUUCAUGCCAAGGAGGAGGGACAGGAGAACGAGGCAGUGAAGAUGGCGAGGAGGUUCGGUCACUGCGUCGGCCUCCCCCACCGCCACCACCACGACCAGGAAGAGAAGGACAAACGACAACCACGGGCAGGACAAGGAUGAAGACAUGAACACGAAGCUGCUCGGACGCUUCCACCUCCACGCACACGACGGCGACCACGAGGCUGGCGAACUAGAAGUACUGGCGAGCACGAGGAGGAGCUUCAACCACGGCGACCACCACCUCGGGGCGGAGGAAGGCGGCGUGAAGAAGUGGUUCAAGGGCCUCAUGAACCGAUUCUAGACAUGCAUGCAUACCGCCCAGGGCGGCUGGUUUAAUUACUCUGAAUAAUGUGUGCUCUGCACCUCCGCGUCUGCGUGGCGCGUCGAUCGGCUGUUCUACCAUUUCGUUUGCCUUCGGGUUAUUUCACACUAUAUUACGGCUUCGGUUUAUGUACUGGUGUGCUACUGGUGACUUGUGAGGGUUGUGAAAUUGUUACGAGUAGCAACGUUACGUGUUUCUCAUAACUACAUGUAAUCACUUUGCCUUCUUAUGUACUCGCUUUGUUUCAUAAUUUUUAUUGUGCUUGUAGUUCAAAUUUGAUCUAAAACCGCAGCAAGAAUUAUGGAACCACGCGAGUAUAUUGCACGCAUUAUUAUGCUCAUCACUCUUUUUUUCCCUGAUGUGAACAUAGUCUGUUCAUCUCGCUUUUCGCAUCAAGCUUCAGUACUGUUAACAGUUCCGUCAUGUUCCUUAUAUGUAGCAAGUUAAUUAACUCUAGCACCCCUAUACAAAACUUGCAACUCGGUAUACUUUUCUCUUUUGCAAGGGAGACGCUGUGCCCUUUCUUUUUUGGGGGCUAUUUCUUGUCUCACACCUCUUCAUCAACCGAUAUAUAUGCGCACAACCACUCUAUUUACAAAGUUUUGAAUCCUUAAAAAAACAAAAUUAAGAGAUAAGCUAGGGUUGAAGAUUUCCUUUCUGUAUUUUGUUUUUCUCCUCACCAAUAUUCACAAUUUUUAAAGAAAUGCUGAAAAAAUUGGUCUGGAAAUCGAACAUACGAGUAUAUAUAUGACUAUAAGAAUGGUGAGAUCACUCUAAACCAGUACGGUACAACUUAAUUUGUGGUACUACUCCUAAUUUGGUUUUAAUAUUUUUAGAACCAUCACCGAUGGUAAUUAUUCAAAUGUAAUAUACUAUUUUUCAACCAAGAUUAUGUCUUCUCGACUCCUGAAAAUUGCUAAUUUUCUCCAUUUAAAAAAAUAUUGACAAUUUUUUUCCUCCAGGUGUCUACGUUCUACAGCUAGAGACCAGAAAACCCGGAGCCUCCAUACAUUAAGGUCAAUGCUACCCAUGAUCAUGCUUUUUGUAAUUGCACAAGUACUUUAGCUGGCAGUUGUCAAGAAAUUUGGUAAGCAUUCCUUAAUUUGGUGAAGGGAUUAAUUGUACGUGCAGGUAGCAUCCCCUUCCCGCUGAUUGUGAUGGAGUGAGAUAACUUGGCUUCUCCUUCGUUGUCUUUAUCCGGAAAUGCGAAAGCUUGACAAGCAAGUCUCCAAAUCUGUCUGAAUAUUAGUAGGUAAGAGGAAAAACUUGUGCAACUGCACAUCGCAUGCAUCAUCACUGUUGUCGUCUACGCUCGAUCUUCCGUCUAUUGAUUUGUGUGCAUAUGAUCGACAUUGAUCGUUACUCACCAUAAAGAGAAGGUGUGAUGGAGGGCUGAUAAUAAAUUUAGCUUUAAUUGGCGUCGAUGAUAUGCAACAACCUUAGGUGGAGUGCAACGAUGACAUCCACUUUGCCAAUUAACCUCGACAUAUGAGUUGCAACUAGAGAAAAAAGAAAGAUCGCACAAAAAAUACAAAAUAAGGUGUCGGCACUAAUGGAAGACAAGGAAAAAUGAGGAGACAAGGAAUGGGGAGAUGCAAAGCGGCCCCAUAAUGAAGAUGAGAAAAGAGACAACAUACAAAGCACCCUCGUUCUUCCACUACUACAAAGCAGUCCAAUAACAAACAGCAACAAAAAUCCCACGAAAAUGGCCAGAAGAAAAAACAAAGGAUGGACAAAAAAUGAGCAUAACUGGCGACCGCUAUGCGUCCGUCAGUUGAUUAACUGAAAACAUCGACCGCCUCCUGUGCUGCUGGAUUAAGGCUAUUCCGCAAUGAGGUGUGUAACAAUUGCAACAAGGUAGAUGUUGUGUAGCUCGCUGUGCAACAAUAGCGUAGUUGCAAAAACACCGAAAGCAUUAUUUUUGCCCUUUUCUUAUUUUUGUCUUCACAUUUUUUCGCAACAUUGAUGUUGCGGGAGGACUUUUGCAACAUAUGUGGUGUUGUAGGAAUUUUUUCUUGUCUUUACCUUUUGCAACAUAGAUGAUGUUGCGAGAGGACUUUUGCAACACGAAUGAUGUUGCAGAGAUUUUCCGCUGAAAUAGAUGAUAUCGUGUGCGGCUUGAAUCGAGAAAUUUAUGCAACAAAAAUGAUGUUGCGGGAGGACUUUUGCAACAAUGCUCUUGUUGCCAAAAGUAUAAAAAGCAUCGCCAGCCAGAGCGACGAUAGAUGGCGGAAGGGGAGGAUGGAGCAGCACAGCUGGGCAGAUGGUGGGCAGAGCGGUGUGCUUGGGCGUACGCGCUCGAGUGGUGGCCAUGGUUGCAAGCGAGCAUAGAGAGGCAGGGAAAGAGAUGCAAUGCUCGUGAUGUUUCUAGAGAAGGGGCAUGUGGUGUUAUGGACCACGAUGACACGUGUCUACAAAUACCGACGGAGAAGAAUUUUUUUGCGGGAAAAACUUCCAAUCUAUUCAUCUUCAAUCAUGUUAGUACAACAAACACUAGAAAUAAUAAAAAUUACAUCAUGAUCCAUAGACCACCUAGCAACGACUACAAGCACUGAAGCGAGUCGAAGGCGCGCCGCUGUCAUCGCCCCUCCCUCGUCGGAGCCAGGCAAACCUUGUUGUAGUAAACAGUCGGGAAGUCGUCGUGCUAAGUCCCCAUAGAACUAACGCACCAAAAUAGCAACCGUCACCGAUGAAGAGUGUAGAUCAAAAGGAUUCAAUCUGAAGAUACACUAACGAAGACGAACGACGAAUAGAUCCGAGCAAAUCCACCAAAGACAGAUCCACCGGAGACACACCUACACACGCCUACCGAUGUUGCUAGAGGCAUCACCGGAACGGGGACUAGACGGGAAGACUUUAUACCGAUGGAGAAGAUCGAUGCAAUAGUAUGAUCCGCCGUCUGAUGGGAAUAGUUUCCCAACAAAAAUACACAGACAACCGGACUUCGCGAUGACGCUAGGAGCGCAUGACAAAAAUAAAGCGAAAAUCGACUUUGGAAAAUAUCUUUUCUUAGACAAACUCUAGAAAAUAUCUAUUCGCCGCACGUUGCGCCGAGCUGUCGACGCAACGCACAGCCGAAACCAUGUAGCGCUACAAAUGGGCCAGCCCACUUUACUAAACUAGCCAGCCGGAUUUCGCAACCAUCGACUCACAACGGUUUUCCGCAAUUUAUUGUUUUUUCUUUUAUUUUGUUUUUCUAUUUAUGUUUCUUUUGUUUUUCUAUUUUUUUUAUUUAUCAGUUUUUAGUUUUUCGUCCUUUGUUUCUUAUUUUAUUUAUCUUGAUUUCUUUAUUUUCAAAAAAAAGUAAUUUAAAAAAAAUCAUGUUUUCUAGUUAAAUUUUUUGAAAUGUUCUUAUUUUCAAAGUUUGUUCAAUAAUUCAGAAAAUGUUUGCACUUUUCGAAAAUGGUUUGGGAUUUAAAUGAAUGAAUGUUUGUGUUUUCAUAAAUAUUUCAGAGUGUCAAAAAUAUUUCUGUUUUCAAAUUUUCCUCUCAAACUUAAAAAACGUUCACGAUUUUUAAAAUUUUACAGGAAUUUAAAAUGUUUUUGGCGCUUUAAAAAACCAGAAUUUCAAAAAAUAAUAUUCAUGUUCUUCAAUAAAAUAGUCAGAACUUCAAAAACUGUUUGCAUGUAUAAAAAAUUAUUCCCGUUUUAAUAAGUAUUCACAUUUUCAUGAAAAUCGUGUUUGAAGUUUUGAAAAAUGCUUUUAAAACUGUCACUGUCUAGACACCGUAGCUGAUCAGUUCCAAUGGCUAGUGACAAGCUCAAACCAGCGGAGUUCUUGAGUUCCAAACCUCACAGGCGCUGCUUAAAUGCCUCAUAUAGGAGGUCCCAUCAAGUUUGCACAAAGAUUUACAACAAAUAGAUCAGACGGAACACAACUUAGAUGAGACAUUAUUAAGCAACCUGUUGAAGACUUUCCCUGUCAGACAUGCAUGUAUGGACGCAUAGAAACACGCAGAGUUGAUGAUGAUGUUCCUGUCGCUACUAAAGGCAUGUGGGGUGGAUGGUGGAUGCUUCCAUUGAGAUGAAUUGUCGCCGAGUCAGCAAAUAUGCAGCAUGUUUGACCAGUCGUCGAAUGACCAGUCGGCAGCUGUAGUCUGUAGAAUGUAGAUGCAUCUUAUCCUCAGCUGAUCUUCUUGGUGGAUGCGGAUCCAUGGUAGGUCUUCUUCUCUGACUAGUUACAAUGUUACAUACCACUACAAUAUACUUAGGGUGUGUUUGGCAGCCUGCACGAAGGGUGCAUGAGCCCAAAAGUUCUUCAUCGAACCCACUUUUUACUGUUUGGUAGGGUGCAUGGGCUCUAUUGAGCUAUGCUCAACCGAUGCAAAAAAGCCCCUCAGCUAUGCUCAACCCAGCACCCCCAGUGAGGCAGCCGCCCAAGAUCUUCCGAUCUACCUCCCCCUUCCCCCACCCCUGUUGCUCAGUCAACUCGCCGUCGCCCCUCUUCAACGUCGCCAGAGGUAGCACGCCGCCGCCGCUGNNNNNNNNNNNNNNNNNNNNNNNNNNNNNNNNNNNNNNNNNNNNNNNNNNNNNNNNNNNNNNNNNNNNNNNNNNNNNNNNNNNNNNNNNNNNNNNNNNNNNNNNNNNNNNNNNNNNNNNNNNNNNNNNNNNNNNNNNNNNNNNNNNNNNNNNNNNNNNNNNNNNNNNNNNNNNNNNNNNNNNNNNNNNNNNNNNNNNNNNNNNNNNNNNNNNNNNNNNNNNNNNNNNNNNNNNNNNNNNNNNNNNNNNNNNNNNNNNNNNNNNNNNNNNNNNNNNNNNNNNNNNNNNNNNNNNNNNNNNNNNNNNNNNNNNNNNNNNNNNNNNNNNNNNNNNNNNNNNNNNNNNNNNNNNNNNNNNNNNNNNNNNNNNNNNNNNNNNNNNNNNNNNNNNNNNNNNNNNNNNNNNNNNNNNNNNNNNNNNNNNNNNNNNNNNNNNNNNNNNNNNNNNNNNNNNCCUCACUUCCUUCCCCUAACCCCCUCCAUCCAUCCUUCCUGCCAUGUCUACCUUGUAGAUCUCUGCAGUAUUCCUCUAUUCCCUUCUGAUUAUGAUGUUUAGGUGGUAAGAACGAGCACAGUAGAUGUUUCCCUUUCAUAUGUUGUAGCUAUUGUGCUCAGACUUAAUUUUGUUGAUUGCUUGUCAUGCUGAAAAAAAUUGCAUGUGAUAACUUUCAUUUGUUUUUGUUUUUUAGAUGAAUGAUUUGGCAAGAAAGCGAAGAAAAUUCAUUGUGAGAGGAGCUUGGUCUAGUUGAUCUAGUGAUGUUAUAUUGCUGAGAUUUUGUUUCUAAAAUGUUUUAUUUCCCAAUCAUGCUGAGAUAUGACCAGUAAUUUUUUCUUCAUAUUCAUAUAUAGCCGAAAUGAUUUUUAUUGUUUAGAUUAUGUUGAAACGGAGAUGUUUAUUGUUCGAAUUAUUAAUGAAGUGUUGAAGUGUUGUUCGAAAUUGUAUUGGCGCAAAAAAAAUUGUUGAUGCAUCCUACCUUGUAUACAGGCUACCAAACACAAUCUCGACUCAGCAUGUCUCAACACAUACAUCACUACCAAACAACUGCACAUGCAUGUACACAGCAUGUCUAUACUUGACAUGUCUCAAAUGGGAACAACUAUGCUAGGGUGGGAACAGCUACCAAACACACCCUUAGGCUUCAAUGCUCAUUGCUCAGCAAGUGGUCCGAGUGCAUCGACGAGUCUGUACAUAUAUGCACCACCAUGAGGCACACAGAGACGUGGGGCGCAGCACACCGAAGUGGACUCACAUCACAUCAAAGCCACACUCAGCCGGCAGGAUGAGGAUGCACUCACAUGCGCUGCUCGUCCUCCUCCUCGGCUGUCUCCUCGCCGGCGCGGCAACCGCCGAGCCCUCUUGGGAGCUUACUUACAAGGAUUGCCACCCCGACGACAAGGCGGUGCUGCUCGCCUUCCCGGAGUCCUGGUCCUCGUCAUGGGCGCCCGACACACCCUGCUGCGACUGGUUCGCCGCCGCCUGCGCCCGCUCCACGGGCCGCGUCGUGGGCUUCUCCGUCUUCCAGGACCCCAACUUCACGGGCACAAUCCCCAGCGCCAUAGCCGGUCUCACCCACCUGGAAGACCUUUUCCUACACCACCCCCGGGGGUAUCGGGCCCCAUACCGUCGGCGAUAGGCAAGCUCACCAACCUCUCCAGGCUCGAAAUCUCAUGGACGGCCGUGUCGGGCCCCGUGCCGUCCUCCUUGGGCAAGCUCAAGAAGCUCACCCAGCUCGACCUCUCCUUCAACUCGCUCAGCGGCGCCAUCCCGGUGUCGCUGGGCGCCAUCCCCGGCAUCACCCUCAGCCGCAACCGCCUCAGCGGCGCCAUCCCCCAGAUGUUCCUCAGCGAGUCCGCCGGCCAGGACGUCUACCUCGACGUGUCGCACAACAACCUCACCGGCCCCAUCCCGGCCUCGUUCGCUGCAGUGAACUUCACGCACCUCGACCUCUCGCGCAACGCCCUGACCGGCGACGCGUCCGGCCUCUUCGGGCGCGGGAAGGAGCUGCAGUACAUCGACCUGCCCCGCAACGCCUUUGAUUUCUACCUGUCAGGCGUGGUGGUGCUCCCGGAGAAGCUCUUCCACCUGGACCUGAGCCACAAUGCCAUCCAUGGCAGCAUCCCGGUGCAGGUCGCGAACGUGGCCAACCUGCUGGCCUUCAACGUCAGCUACAACAGGCUCUGCGGCCCCGUGCCGGCCGGCGGGAACAUGGCGAGGUUUGAUCUCUACAGCUUCCUGCACAACAAGUGCCUCUGCGGUGCUCCCCUUCCUCCGUGCAAGAAAUAGAUGGAUUUAUCUGCCGGGUUUGACAGAAUAACUAGAUGUUGAUAUUCAUAUGUCGACUGUAUUGAUGCCUCCGGAUUAAGAAUUGUGCUGAAAUAAAGUCAAGAUGAUUAUAUAUAGAGAGGUGAAGUUGCCGGCUAGCUUUGAUACUUCCUCUGUUUUUACGAGUGUUUUAAAUAGCGGGCUAUACUAAAUAGUGACGGACCUCCAAAUUAGAUAUACUGAAGCUAUAGUGGGCUAUUUUAGACAUGAGACCAUUUAACGGCACACUAUAGCGGGCUUACAGUCGGCCAUUUAAAACUAUGGUUCUUACUGUCUGACUAAAAUUUAUCAGUGGAAAUCACGAGUUAUAUGAUGUAGAACAAAGAUCCUAAAUUGUUGGGCCACGGUCAAACUUUAGUUUUACAUUAUAUUUUUUUCUUUAUUUCCCUUCUGAUGUGUUCUUCGGUUUAAAAAGUUUGGGAUAUUUGAGAGAGAUCAACCGUGCAGAUUAAAACUUAUCUCUUAUUUAAAAAGGGUCAUAUGUAUAACUUAUGGACACACCCAUCAGGCGUGACAUGGUCAGAAAGUCAACUCUAUUUAUUUUGACCAUUAAGUUGACCGUUAUGACAGGUGAGGCCCACACGUCGGCAUGUCCUCAUCCUCUCUCUCUGUUUGGCAUUUCAAUAAACACCUUGUGUGCAUCGGAUAGCACCACCGCGUCGACUGUGUGGACGCCGGCGGGGACCUACUUGUUACCUUCCAUCGAGGUGAGGAUGCUCCACGCCCCCUUGUGCUUCCCGAACUACACCUUUCACACGCUCAUGGCGGCCGUAGCCAGUAACACAAGGUGCUUCAUGAGCUACACGUUCAGUCGGGUAGCCCCACAACAGCUUCAGUCGAUGAGCGCAGCGACCCACGGCAAGUCCAGUUCAGCGAGUGCGGCGGCCCGCGGCAAGUCUAGUUUGGCUGGUGUAAAAAUUCAGAUUUUAAAAAUGUUCACAAAAUUGUAAAAAAAAUGCACAUGAAUUUAAUAAUAUUUUUAAAUGUCUUGCUAUUCUUUAAGAAAAAUCAUAAAGUUUUGAAACUGUGUGUGAAUUAAAAAAGCAAAAUUUUAAAAUGGUCACGAAUUUGAAAUAUGUGUUGACAAAUUUAAAAUUGAUCAUGAACGUUGGGAAAUGUAAAUUAAAAAUCACCAAUAAUACUAAUAAUAAAGAAAAAAAUAGAAAACCAUACCAAGAAGGAUGAGAACCUGGGGAAACCUAGCAGAAAAAUUAAAAAAAACGAGAGAAAAAAAACACUACUAUCUACCCUAGCGGGUGAACCUUCUUACUGUGCCUGGCCAUCACGGACCCUGUGCGAAGAAUAAAUUCUAUGCAACGUGUAGAGAGGAAAUUUCGAGAGCUCCUCCUUGGCGCCUUCAGCGCCCGCUGGCAAUUCUAGCGCCCGCUGUGUCGCUAGCAUGGGCCUGGCCCAGCAGCGCACGCUCGGUUCCCUCGAUCGCUGGAUGCCGCCGCUCGCUCCAUCGCUGGCUGCCCCUGCUCCCUGCAUCGCUGACUCCCGCUUGAUCAUUUUUUUUUCAUUCUAAAAACUGCUACAGUAUAGAUUGCGUUUCUUGGAAAAAACCCGGCUUACAACAGUAUAUACUCUUGUUCUUAGAAAAAAGUUCAUCGAACUUGAAAUUUAGUUCAUUGAAUUUGAAAAAAAAAAGUUUAUCCAUUUUAAAAAAAGUUCAUCAAGUUUGAAAAUAAGUUCAUAGAAUUUGAAAAAAGUUCAAUGAAUUUGAAAAAAGGUCUUCGAAUUUUAAAAAAGUUCACCGAAUUUGAAAAUGGUUCAUCGAAUUUGAAAAUAGGUUCACCGAAUUUGAAAAAACGUUCACCGAAUUUCUCAAAAAAGUUCAUCGAAGUCGAUUUGCAGAAAAAAAAAACAUGAAGAAAAAAAGUUUCACGAAUUUGGAAAAGAAAAAAAAAGGGAAAGAAAAAUGGAAAAGCAGCAGAAGAAGAAGAAGUCGGAAAACAUGUAUGUAAUCGAACUCAUUGAAGUGGUCGAUUGGUUGGGUCGCUCUAGUCUAAACUCGCGGUCGCGGGUUCGAAACCCAUCUCAACCUUAUUUUUUGGAGUUUGGAAAAGAGAAAAAAAAGUUAAAACUGGGCCGGCCCAACGUGACAAGGGGGGUGUGCGCCCGUUAGCAGGAAUGCCUGUAACGGGCGCUUAAGGCGCUGAAUAGGAACCGAGUUUGGAAAAGAGAAAAAAAAAAGUUAAAACUGGGCCGGCCCAACGUGACAAGGGGGGUGUGCGCCCGUUAGCAGGAAUGCCUGUAACGGGCGCUCAAGGCGCUGAAUAGGAACCGAGUUUGGAAAAGAGAAAAAAAAAGUUAAAACUGGGCCGGCCCAACGUGACAAGGGGGGUGUGCGCCCGUUAGCAGGAAUGCCUGUAACGGGCGCUCAAGGCGCUGAAUAGGAACCAGCGGAAAUUUCCCCAAGGGGUAGUUCUAAAAAAAAAACUCAUGUGAGGAAAAGGAAGAAGCCCACCUUAGUUAGUUGGCCAUGAUGACGGCCCAUGUCGCCCAGUACUCGGUAAAGAAAAACAUGUCGCCCGUGAUGAUGAGCGUGUCCUGCAAGCAGCCGCCACCAAUCCAGUCCCAUUGCCUAAAAAAAACAAUCCGUUUCCUAGUCUGCGCAGUGCCCGCGCUUUCAUAAGAGACAUACGCAGCCUCGCACGAAGAUCAUAUAAGGGGGGAAUGCCUCCUCCUCGAUUGUUUUUCCUCUCCGCCGGUCCCCACUGGCCAUGGACGCUACGGGUACGGCAGCGGCGGCCAUGGAAGCAGAAGCACUGCCGCCGUGGCCGCAGGCGGCGGCUGCGUCGGAGACCCGCUUCCGUUUCCGGGGAGAAGUGACCCUCAGCGUCGUCGUCAAGCUGAGCGACGAGCCGUCCACUGUGCGCCUGCGUGGCGGCCUCGUCUUGUCCCACGUGUCGCGCAGGGUCGAACCAAGGGGCCCGCCGGUCGACGUGACCAAUCACAAUCAAGCCGUCAGGAAGCUGGACCUGCAGUUCGAGAUCAGAGAUCACGCCGUCUUCCAGAGCAGCAAGGUCUGCAGCGAGCUCAUCCGAGAUAUGCUCGCCACCGCAGUCGAAAGCGAGUACAACAAACUCCCCGCCGACGCUGCAGAUUCAAUCCAAACGCCCGUUGACCUAGCAGCCACGGGGAUCGUGGAGCACGUUGGCCGUGAGAUCGACGAGAUCGUCGCCGCCGGGGGCGUCGUCCCUUGCUACGAAUUAGAGCAAGAAAUACCCCUGGUCUGUAUAACCCUGGUCUACGAGCCCAAGGCGCUGCUUCUCGCUUGCUAAGAAGCUGCCACCGGAGUCGUGGCACUCUGUGGCCGAAAGCGCCGCCGUGACCGUGAGCCUGAUGGGGUGUGCGCCAUCUGUUUGUUGGACUUGGAGACCGAGGACGAGGAGAAGGUCCGGCUGCCGUGCUCCCAUGCCUUCCAUACACCGUGCAUCGAGCCGUGGUUCGACAAGGCGUCGACGUGCCCCACUUGCCGGCUUGACAUUAUGGAGUGCUUUAGCUUUCUCAGAUCAGCGGCUCCAAGGAGCCGGAGAUGAACCACCAUUCCUAAAUGACGUAGACCCUGGAGGUGAUGUAUAGUUCAUAUUCCAUGAUGAACUAGUUACCUCCAAGCAUUGUAUAAUAUAGUUGCAGUUGCAGGCUUUCACUACAUUGUGGUGGUUUGGUUAUUUGUCAAGAGAGCCAUCUCUAGCUUUAGCUUGUCACUGGUGCUAGUUUCAGUUUCUGGGUGACUGGCAUGGUUUCGGGAGCGGAGCAUUGCCGCAGAGACACCUGUUGUGCUCCAAGCUGUGGAUACCGAAACUCGCCGCGGCGCCGUCCGGCACCGCACCGCAGAGCCGGUUGUAGUUGACGUCGGUCAGAUUCGCCAGCAGCACCGGGAUGCGGGACAUGCAUGUUGUGGUUGUAGAUCCUGUUGUGGCGUGGCCGGGCACGGGGCCGUCGACGCCGUCGUCCAGCAGGAUGUCAAGGCUGACGAUGCGGCCCGUGGAGCCUUCGCGGCCGACGCUGGGCCAGGCACAGCACGGGAAGUCCGGCGUCCAGGACGCGAAGUAGGAGGCGUUGUUGAAGGCUGCCUUCAGGCGACCAGCGCCGCUCGGAGUUGGAUGAGACCACCCUGUGGACGAUUCUUUCUUUCGGUAUGUAGGAAAAAUAAUUUUAAUGUCCAAAUACGUGCGUGUGCAUUUUCUUUUGUAAUUUUGAUUCCAAAGGGAAUGGAAUAUAAGAUGGGCAGCCUGAAUUUAUGGCUUUUUUUUUUGACUUCGUAUACCUAUCUUAUACUACAUAUUUAUGCGGCAUUUUUUUACGGGAGACUUUUGAUCUAUUCAUAUUUAACCAUGGCAAUACAAUGAACACAAGAAAUUUAAAAUUUACAUCCAGAUUCGUAGACCACUUAGCGACGACUACAAAUACUGAAGCGAGUUGAAGGCGUGCCGCCAUCAUUGCCCCUCUCUCGUCGGAGCUGGGCACAACUUGUUGUGGUAGACAGUUUGGAACUCGUCGGAGCUGGGCACAACUUGUUGUGGACUUGUGGUAGAUAGUUUGAAACUCGUCGUGCUAAGGCCCCAUAUGACCAACGCACCAGAAAGAACAGCAAUCGCCAUCAAUGAAGAGAAGUUUAAAUCGGAAGGUUUCAACCUGAAGAUACAUGAACAAAGACGAACAAAAACCGGAUCCGAGCGGAUCCACCAAAACAACCACGGACCGAAUCCCUUGAGAUCCGUCGGAGACACACCUCUACACGCCCUCCGACGAUGCUAAAGGCACCACCGGGACGGGGCUAGGUGGGGAGAACCUUAUUCCAGCUUCAAGAAAAGCCGUUGCAGACUCGUCUUCCUGAGCAGGACAUAAACUCUAACAAAACUUGAAGAAACACCUACAAAUGGAGCCCUCCCGUCAGCAAGGGCCCAGAAGACGUGGCAGAUCGACGGCGCCACCGACGGGAGGCAGAAACCCUAGCCGCCUUUUCUUGAAGAGACAAAGGAAUAACCGCUUGUUCUAUGAGGGAAGCUCUAUUUAUGCGUGAUUUUGAACCUAACGAGAUCCUCUGUUUGACAUUUCCCCCAACUUCUUGCAUUUGGUUCUUGGGGUAUAAGACUGGGAACAACCCAUUGCCACCAGAACCAUUGGGGCGUAUGGGAUUUUCAACCUAACAAGAUCCCCUGUUUAUUAUUAUAACUGUUCCUAACCGGAUGAACCAGCCAAGGUGAGAUAUUAGAAGAAACUGAACCAUUUUCAGUUCCCUUCCAAUCAAUCAUCCCAAGGUGAGUGAGAUAUUGCAGGAAAAGAAACUUGAUCAUCAUCUGUAUUUUCCUCGAAAAAGGCUAGUAAAACACGAGUAUCACCAACAUUGCAAUAAAAUGAAAGAAAUAGUUACCAGAUAAAGUUUCACCGGACUCAGAUCAUGAUAAUCAAUACAAGUGGAAAAUAUAUUUAUCUAAAGAACAUCUAACUACAUGAGUUCAGAUUGUUGUUUCCGCUACAGGUUUCAAGUUUCAAAUGUCAUACAACAUCCACGCAUUUACAAUUCACACAUUAUAAACAAAGGCAGUGCUGGUGAAACCGCUGCACCCUUCUUUUUCUGUAUCAACUCAGCAUACACAGAAUUCUCCAAGAAAUACCCAAACACCCGGGGGACCAAACAAGGCUUCACAAACAAUGUGGCCGCAAUGACUUCAAACCAGGCUCAACGACUAAUUUGCAGAUAACUAGAACUCAAGGCUUCGAUGAGAAGAGGUUGGGGUAGGAGAACGGAUCGUCCUCCAACGACGUUGAUCUCUGAGGCACAUGAGAUGGCGCAUAACCCUCAAGGUCAUUGGAAAAAGAGUCCUGAUGAUCAAAUACCGGUUUCUGCUCAGUUUGAUGAUGACUUUCCUUUUGGCUACCAUCACUGUGGCUCUCAUAAACCCUAGUGUUCUUCUUUAGAUCGGCAAUGCACAGUUUCGCAAGGUUUGCAGCAGCACGUGCUGCCGAUGCAGCUCGCUCUGCUGAAUCAGCAGCUGUUUGCGCAGCUGAAACCACGCCAUCCAUAUCAAUAUUUUCCCCGCUCUCUAUAGGAGAGAUCGAAUGCACCUGUUCUGGACGCUUCGAGAACAUGUUGAAAUCUUUGGGUGUUUGGGGAGCAGUCACUUCAUCAACUGACCUUGUGAAGAAUUCUUGCUCUGUUGGCUUCACUGGAGGAGAAUUUAAGGGAAUCGAGUCACUUCUCUCCAUAGAAGAAGCAGAAGCAAAUGGUGGGGGAGAGACAAAAGGAACAAAUUGCUUCUUUUCAUCUGGCAAAGCUGGCAUCCUUGGCUGAGCAAAUUGCGGAGAAACUGGGGGCUCUGAACUUUUCAGAUAAUUAUAGAACGCAGCAUCAGCUGUUGGAUUCUCUUCCAAGUCAGGUGGGUUUGAGAAAUCAUGAGCAGCCGACUGUGAGCUUUGCACAUGUGGACCAAUAUCUGGGGUUGAUUGAGUACCAGAAGCUGGACGAAUUGCUGCUUUUGGGACUUCAGGCAAAUCCAAUGAGUCAAAGCCGCCAUCAGAUUGAUAAUCUUCACCAGGUUCGUCAGCGGCAGUUGCAGCUACUGGUUCCUCGUGUUUCUCCUUUGGAAGUGGCAGUGUUGAACCACUGAAGUAGGUUGGUCCAUUCUAAUGAAAGGAAACAUGUUACAAGGUGAGAUUCAAAAUAAUGAACCAACCAUAGUUUAUUGUAUGUAUACACUAACCAAUAGAUCUUCAUGGGGUUUAAGAUAUUCUGUCUCUGUUUCUGAUGGAUCCCAGUCGAUCUCAUGCUCCUCAGCAAUCUCCUUCAGCAGUUUCAUCUUUAUAUCUACUGGAGGAGGACGGAUUGAAAGUAGUUCAAUUAUCUGCAUAGGUAUUGACUCGAAUCUUGUCAGCAUCAAUCCAAUGGUUAAGCAACAUAAAUAGAUUACUUCUUAUCAUGGAAGUUGGCAUAUGACCUGACGGUUGACCCCACAAUCCGGCAUAAGUUCUGCAGCUGCAGCAACAAACUCUUUCCCAUAUUUAGUUGCAAACAUCAUUUGGACUUGCAUCAGUUCAGGCAAAUCUGAACACCGAGGAGCAGCAAAACAGAUGCUGGAUAUUGCCUCUUUGAGAUCUAUAGGGCAUUCCCUGAAGCAGGAAAAGAAAUUUAACAGGUUAGGACAACCAAUUUAGCUGCAAGCCUAUGGAAACUGUAUAACCACAACAUUUGAGAGGGUACACUUCACCAACAAAUUGACUAAACACAUAUCAAGGAUAAUUUAUUUCUGUGCCUCCACCCAGGGAAUUCAGUCUAGACAGAUGGAGACCCAAAGAACUAUGCUGCACAAACAGCAGCAUGCAUAUAAAACCAGGUCUUUCCUUCGGUUCGGAAAAGGUCAAAUGGAGGCAACAAUCAGAUGCUUAGGGGCCACCAGAUAUGCAUCGUCUCACUAUUUACAGAAAAAUAAAGAAAUGACAUAAUCUGUUACAGAGACGAACUCACAUUAUGCAUUUCAUUACACGUUUGAAACAAAGCACAUGGGCUUCUUUUUGGAAGAAAGCCAGACUUAAGUUGAAUAGCGAUGGCAUUCAUCACAUGCCACAUCCAUCAUUCAACUGCAAAAGCAACUGAGCACUAACAACAGACUUGGGCAAACUCUGGGACUAGAGAGAGCUAUAAGUUCAGUAUGCCAAUAAAAAAGAGUCAUAAUUUAGUCAAAAACAUCAUUUGGACUUGCAUCAGUUCAGGCAAAUCUGAACACCUAGGAGCAGCAAAACAGAUGCUCGAUAUUGCCUCUUUGAGAUCUAUAUAGGGCAUUCCUUGAAGCAGGAAAGAAAUUGAACAGGUUGGGACAACCAAUUUAGCUGCAAGCCUAUGAAAACCGUAGAACAACCACAUUUGAGAGGAUACACUUUCAACAACAAAUUGAUUAAGGACAUAUGAAGGAUAAUUUAGUGAGUGCCUCCACCCAGGUAACUCUGUCUAGACAGAUGGAGACCCAAAGCAUCGUCUCAGUAUGUCAGAAAAAUAAAGAUCUGACAUAGAGUAAUCUACAAACGCUUAGCACAUAUGGCUACUGAAUAAGAAGAGGACAGGACAGGUGACAAACUUUUGGGCCUCUAUGAUGGGCAGGCGAACGGCGACGAGCUCGCAGAAGAGCUCGAGGAUCUCCUGCGCCGCCAUCAUGUUCUCCUCCCGGAUGAUGUGCUCCACCUGCGACCACAGAGAAGAAGCAAUUAAUCAUCAAUCCCCACCGCCCACCCCCAAAGUCCAAGAACCUAAUCCCUCUACUGCUAUUCCUUGGAAUCUGUACCCUGAUUCUGGCGGUGGCUUCCUGGCCGGCCUCGAGGAGCUUGGCGAUGUCCCGGCGCAUCUGGCGCAGCUGCAGCUCCCGGCGGUUCCGCAGCAGCUUUAUCCGCGGGAUGGACAGCUUGAGCAGCGUCUUGCUGCGUGUUUUCACCCCCCGCCAAUCAGAUCAGGAAACAGAUCGAAUGGAAUCGAAAUCAGAGCAGAAACCAGGGAAGAAAGCGUACCACUUGGCGGCGCGGAAGCCGCCGCCGCCGCCGCCGCCGCCCUUGCCAAAGAAGGCUUCCAGCAUCGACAUGUGGGUAAUCGAGUGGAGGACGCGACUGGCGCGUGGCCGCGUUGGGGUUCGAUCUAAUCUAACUGGAGACGGCCAGAGCAAGGAGGAGGUGGAGACGAUGGUGAGGGAGGGGCUGUGCCGUCUGCCGUGUGCGCGUCCAGCCCUGCCUGGAUCCACCUGCUCCACCGCGACGAGAAUCUGACCGUCCGUUUGGACACGUGUAUCAGCGAUGGGACGGUUGGGUGGCUUUGUUGUCUCGGACUUUGCUUCACUCCGAAGAAAACUAUGAUUCCUUCUCAAGUAGUAGUACGUUUCGGUGUGUUAAUAAUAUAUUUUUUUCGACCGGUGAUAAUAAGAUUAUUAGAGCAACUCCAAUGGGCCGACCCAAACGGACGGCGCAUUUGUCCGCCUUUUGUUUGUUUGGGUCGGCCGUCCGCCCGGUGUCCGUCCAGUUUUGCAUUUGGGUCGGCAGUGCGCCCAACGCGCCGACCCAUUUCAUGCCCGCAUUCAACUUUUAAAUAAAAAGGGCCGACGGCCAUGUCUCAUGCCGGCACCAUGCCAGCGCUGACAUACAAUGCCGGUUUCAGAAAUAUCACCACAGUUCAUGCUGGCGCACUCGUCAGCCGGCCGGCACACAUGUCAGCACACAAAAAGGGGUGGGACUUGAGUUCGACCACGCCAUCUCGACUCCCGUGGUCAUGCCGGCACACCUGCCGACAUACAAAAAAGAUGGCCCUCGCCGCCCUAGAACACUCGUCGUCGAACUUGAGCAUGUCGGCCUGCAUCUUCUCGAACCACGGCCUCUUCCUUGGCGACACGGUGUUGAGAUCCACCUUCAUGAUCUCCACCACGGUCAUCAUGCUCGCAAGAGCCACUUCUUUCGCCUUGGUCUUGGCGUUGGCGACCUCGAUAUCUAGCAUCCUGGCUUGCUUCUCCGCCUCGAGCUCGAACAUCUUGCCUUGCUUCUCGGCGUCAAGAUCAAGCCUCCUCCUUUGGAUCUCCAUGAAAGCAUCCAUUUGCUCCGCCUUGAAACACCGGCGCUCCUCCUCCCUUGAGUCAUUCUUAUUCAUCAUGUCGUCCACACUUGCGAUCAAGGCGUUGGUGGCCGCAUCUCGCUUGUCCUCCUUCUUGGAGUUGGUCUUUCCCCGCGGCCUACGGGUAGACGUGGAAGCCGGGGACCGGGUUGCAAACCGACGCGCGGGGUGACUCGGGCAGCACCAUCCGAGGAAACACCGACGAGCCGGUGCUGGCCGCGGCGACGGCGGCUUGGACGAGGCUGUGCUGGCUAGGAUUUACCCCUAGCAUGUAGAGCGCCUCCCUCGUUGCCGCCGCGACGCGGGCAUUGGUGAACUCCUGCUGCGCGGCGGCGACGACGGCGGCCUGCGCGGCGGCCUCAUCCCUCGCGUCAGCGGCGUGCCUCCGGCCCUUCCACUUGGCCGGCUCCCUUGCCCACUGUUCGGGCGUCAGCGCCUUCUUCGGCUUGGUCGUGGCGACGGUCUUGCGCGGGGCACGAGUCUUGCCUUUCCUGGAGGGGGCGACGGCGCGGGACGAGGCGAGGGAGGCGAGGUCGGCGGCGACGUCGAGGUCGAGGUCGAGGUCGAUGGCGUCGUCCAUGGUUGGGGCGGGAGCGAGCGCGCGCGGGCGUGAGUGUUUCUGGGAAAAAUGGGGGGAAAUGGUGGUGGCUGCCACCGCAGGCGGGCCCGAGGAGAGGAGUAGGCGCGCGCGCGUCUGUCUCGUGUCCGCGCCAAAACAAAUCAGGCUCAAAAUUGGGCCGGGAAUGGGUCACCCGCGGAUGAAAAACGGACGCGCGUCCGUUUGGGUCGGCGCGUUGGGCCGUCACUUUUGUCCGCGCCAAUCCAAACGGACGCGGGCGGAUGAAACGGGUCGCCCCAUUGAAGUUGCUCUUAAAUUAGUCCCGUAAAAAAAUUAUUUAGUUAUUAAUCCGUUUGACCAAACAAUUUUACGUGUUUUGGCGUUUGUUCGGUCCACUUUUGACUACCUACUAAGGGCAUCUCUAGGGGAACUUAAAAGAUAGAGGAGUAAACCGUCGAGGAAAUCUUAGUGAGGUAAUUUCACUUCACUAAGUUUUAGCCGGACCUAACUAGUCUCCUAAAUUAGCGGAGUAAAAUUUCUUUUGGUCAAGUUCAUUUCCAUUUUGGGCCCUAAUAUAAACUUCACUAUUUUUUUAUUUUAUUAAACGACAUCUUGAUACGCCGAAGUACAUAAUUUGCCAAUUCUUUGCUAAGGGAACUGAUCCAAAAAAAACCACAAAAAAAUACACACUUUAAUAGAAAUCCAACUUCCAUAACUGCUUCCAUUAGUUGAAUAAAUAUUUGCUCUAUGUUUUCAAUUCCAACAUUGUUGAUUUUCUUAAUUGGCUUCUGGACCUUGCACACUUCUUUCUUCUUGGUUUCCGCACAAUUUCACAUUGUUUCGUCUCUACUCUCAUCUCUCUGGAAGCGGAUUUGUAGCAUCUGGGUGCUUCACCCCCUAGAUGAACAUUAAGUUUAAUAAAUACCAAAAUUUUUGAAAAAAGUUAGGAUUUUGGGAUAUCAAACUUGGGUGUCCGAUCUACUUUUAUGUGAAUUUCGUGAAAAAUACCAGGAAACCUAUUUGUGGCACGAAAGAAAAAAAUUCCUAUGAAUAGAGACAAACUGUUUGGAUGGUUUUUUGUUCGGAUAGUAUUUCCUUCAUCAAGGAUACGUUUUCUGGUAUUUUUUCAUGAUGCUUCACACGGGAGUAUAUUGGGAACCCAGCUUUGAUAUCCCCAAAUUUCAGGAAAAUGAUUUUUUGGUAUUUUUUAUAUUUAAUAUUUUUAUAGAGACGUGGAGCACCCAGAAGCUCAUGUGUAUUUUCCCAUCUCUAGUCUCUACUCUGGCAAGUAGUGCAUGAGCAUCUAUCAAAUUUUUUGUUAUCAAUAGAUCGAUGCAUUCUUCUUCCCAAUAUACCAAAUAUUGCAUCCAUGCUACACAUAAUUUUGAGUAAACAAUAAGCUACAAAUUGACAAAUCCGAAGAACAACAGUAGAAACAAGCACUCACCCAAUCCAUUUGCGUCCAAUCUGAAGAACAACCGGAUGCAUCCCAUCCGGCGCCAACAGCGAGGAUCGUGUAUCUGCCGAUUUAUGCGCCGACGACGAUAAGAGAGGCCCAAAUACGGGUGGGUGAGGAACGUGGUGGGUCCUAUGAAUUGUCGGCGGAUGGCCAGCGAAAACGGGAAGGGAGGCGCCGGAGUAGAUGCGGCGCGAAGGUGGCGGUCCGAUCGAGGGGGAGAAGAUUUUUUUACUCGAGCGGUGGGCAGCUAACUAAAAAUAGAUGCAUGUGGGGUGGAGGAGUAAACUUUUUUACUCCGCUAUGAAGUUUAGGAGUCCGGUUAGGUGCCGGCUAAUUUUUGCUUCUUUUGUAGCCUUUUAGGGACCGGCUAGAGAUGCUCUAAUAAUUUAUAAAAAAUCGAGGAAUGAAAUCUACACUAUUUCCUAAAAAGGACAGACUAUACAUUGUCUAAAAAUAAUUCUGGGAAAGUCGGGUUUUCUAAGCCAUUAGAUUAAGAUCCAACGACACAAAUGUCUUAUUCUCACCCUGAUCUUAAAUGCAUCCUCAUAAAAAGUAAAAUCACAAAAAAUAGUAAAAGAAUUCAAAAAAUUCUGAUUUUUUUUGUGGUAUUGACAAAUGUUUGGUAUGCCUACAAAAUUUCAGCACGAAAUGACAUUCAUGAGAGUCGUGGCAAAAAAACAAAAUCAAUACUCCAAAAUGUUUUCAAAACUAGCAUAUUUGGGCCGGAAGGAAACGGCAGCACAUAGUUUAUUCAACCAGUUUGGCCAGUGAGCCACUCGUAGAUUAUGUGGACGAGCGAUGUAAUCUCCGGCCCGGCCGAUUAUGGUUGUCUUUUAUUUUUUAUUUUUCUUGUUGUAUUGUACUCAAUGACUUGAACUUGGUUCAAAUUUAAUAAAAUGGAUGUGUGCAUCAUUUAAUGCUGAGGCCAGGGUAAUCUCUUUUUGUUAAAAGAAUGUGAUAAUGCAAGGCAUAGCUCUAGCUUUCCAGCUUUCAGCCCUUUCAGUCACUGUCCACAAUCAGAUUCUUCAGAGGCUCUAUCCAUCCUAUCAAGUGAUGGAUUGACAUGGUCGACCUAUGGGCAUCUUGUUCUAGAAAUCAGACCUUAGGGAGUUUAUUCCACA
rnacentral:lncRNA from 1 species